UACGGAAGGCAGCAGUGGGGAAUAUUGCACAAUGGGCGAAAGCCUGAUGCAGCUAUGCCGCGUGUAUGAAGAAGGCCUUAGGGUUGUAAAGUACUUUCAUCGGGGAGGAAAAACAAAACUAAUAAUUUUAUUUCUUGACGUUACCCGAAAAAGAAGCACCGGCUAACUCCGUGCCAGCAGCCGCGGUAAUACGGAGGGUGCUAGCGUUAAUCAGAAUUACUGGGCGUAAAGAGCACGUAGGUGGUUUUUUUAAGUCAGAUGUGAAAUCCCUGGGCUUAACCUGGAACUGCAUUUUGAAACUGAAAUACUAGAGUAUCGUAGAGGGAGGUAGAAUUCUAGGUGUAGCGGUGAAAUGCGUAGAUAUCUGGAGGAAUACCUGUGGCGAAAGCGGCCUCCUAAACGAAUACUGACACUGAGGUGCGAAAGCGUGGGGAGCAAACAGGGAUUAGAUACC
rnacentral:rRNA from 1 species